ensembl:lncRNA
UAAAAAUAAGAGAAAAGACUGGCUCUGGAGGAAGCCCUGUAUACUAAAGAAUGGUGAAUUUUAUAUCCACACCUAAAAAUCUAAAAAGCUGCAGCAGAAUUUAGUUAAUUACAGGAUACAUUGUAUUUCAUGGCAGUUUAUUUAAAAGGAUUCAGAAACUUUAGUUGACGCCAUGCCAGGCACAAGGAUAAACUUGGUCCCCAGACCCAGGGAAGCAGUGGUAGUGAGGCCACGUGUGGAGUAGAACAGUUCUAGCAGACGCUGCACUUUAAAAAAGACACUGAUAAGCCAGUGAAGGCUACCAGGCUGCUGGGGGUCAGCAUAAUUAAUCCUUGAAUGAAUGAAUGAAUAAUCCUUGAGGACACUGGGAAUGUUAGAAGAAAAUGUUCAAUCCACUUGGCUGUUAAAGCCAAAAUGACUUGUGAAAUGCUCACUGUUAUAAGAAGACUAGAAAUAAAGUCAAAAAAAAUCUAUAGGUGUGUGAUCCUCACAAAUGUAUUUCAGGAAAUAAUCAUAGACGUGUAUCAGAUCUUAUAGUUCAUCACUUGAAAAAAAUGGGUAGAUACAUUCUCUGUUGCCCUGGAGGCAGAGUUAUUGGAAGGCACAGGGAAGCAGAUUUCAGUUUAAGAUGGGAAAGAACUUUCCUAUUAGUUCACUGCUAAAAUUGCUGCCUUGCGAAGAAAUGAACUUCUGGUCCCUGGAAUUGUUCUAACAGCUGUUUUAAAAUGUAGGUUUUAUUAUUAUUCAGGUAUGGUGAGCCGACAGAUCAAGAGAUGAUUGCCGUUGAAAAAGAUAAUUUCUUACAGUUCCCAAGAGAAGAGGGUACACCACGCCACACAGGGACACACAGGUGAAAAGGUGAAUUGAAAAAAGCACAAGGAAGAGCAUAAAGUGACCCAGAGACAGUGGGCCAUUGGACACAUGGGCCUGUCAAUCUGAAAGUCAAGGCUGAGGAAGAAUAUUAUCCAAAUCUGUAAAAUCAUGCAUCUACUCUGUGCCAAGCACGAGGCUGGGCUAGAGAUGCAAAGAUAAGUAAGACAGUCUCCUCCUUCAAGGAAGCACGUGACUCUGCUCAUGGCUCCAUAGCAAUUUUCCUCCACCAGCAAUAACAGAAGGAAAUUGACAGAGACUCGUCGUUUUUAGCAUCACAGUGAAAAUAUUUCAUGCUAAUAGUAGACUAGAAUCUUUGGGAUUUUUUCUACACACCUUCAUUUGGGGAAUUUGGAUUGUUAAAGAAAAUAUUUAAUUUGAAGAUCUCUUAUGUUCCUUCUGCAGAACUAAAUUUUUGAGAAGCAAUAAUUCAAAACUCUUUAUGCCAUUAAAAAUGGGGAAAAUAAAGAUUUAAAGGCAGCUCCAUACAAGCACAAGUGUUUGAGUAGUUAUUGUAAGAACUCUACCUUUGCUUUAAUUAUUUGAGAAACUGCUUCAAUCUUCAUUACAUAUUGAUUGUUUUAAAAUGACUACUGAUUCUGGUCUGAUAGGCAAGGCUUGGAGUAAAAAUGGACCUAACAUGUUAAGACAAAUGUAUUUUAAUCUGUUUUAAUGGCUGUUAAAUAUUGGCCAUUUUGGAUUUUGAGGUGAUCUGCAGUUUAGCUUCUCCCCGAUCUAUAUCUGGGUCAACAGAGUGUUUCCCAAAAUGUGUUCCAGAGAACCCUAGUUCCAGAAGACGUUAGUAGAUGUUAUACAAAAAUGGUUCAAAGGCCAGCUACUCUAGGAAACGUUAUGUCUAUUUACUAUAGGACUUCAGAGAACCAGCUGGUGACCAAGAGAGGGAGAUAGAGCUUGCAACAUCACCUAAAAAUUUAAUCAAAGAACUCUUUUUCUUAGGAACGGGGUGCUGUGCAAUACUUUGGCAAAUGCUUGUCUAGUGAAUUCCGGAAGGAAAAUAAUUGAGAGUUGGUUAUAGAUAUAAAUCCUGUAACUUGCUUCUGCAUUUCAGAGGGACCACAAACGGAGACAAAAUUAUUGGGCAUUAACUGUGUGCCAGGCACUGUUCUAAGAACUUUACACUCGUUCACUCAUUUGAAAUUCAGAACAACCUUGGGAGGUAGGUACCAUCAGCCCAUUUUAUGGAUGCUGAAACUGUCCAAGAAGUGGAGAAAUGAGGAUUCAAACCCACUCUUAACUACUCCACUAGAUGGCAUUUCGAGAAUCAGUUGUAGAUCUAACCUUCUCACAUCUGUCUACUCUCGCAACAGUGUUAACUGAGUUAACUGUUGUCACUUUUUAGAAUGUUUCCACGUCCUAUAGGGCUUAUACCCCUUCCAUACUCUUCCUAGAUUCUGAUAACUAUUUUCACUUGUGUUUUCUUCCAGAUAACCUGUAGAAUAAUUUGUCAAGUUCCAAAAAUAAAAUAAAACUUCUGUUGCGACUUUGAUUGCAAUUGUGUUAAAACCCUAAAAUAAUAUGAGAAGAAUUGACAUUUUAUGAUAUUCAGUCUUCCCAUCCAGGAAUAUGAUCUCCUUCAGUCCUCUUUAAAUCUUGGGUCUUCUUUCAUUUCUCAGGCCAUUUUAUAAUUCUCUUCAAGUGCAUUUUAACCAACUCAGACUCUCUCUAGAGAUGAACUUUUGGGGGAGGGACAGCCCUCCCAAAACCAUCUCAGUCCUCCUAUAAUGCUUUGGCUCCUCUCCUCAUCCCACGGAAAAGCAGCAGAAGCAAGAUAGCAGUUCAUUCCUACAGAUAUCCAGAAAUUAAUUGUUCCUAAUUUAGGAAGUGCCUACCUCACUAACGUGUUACCAGACAUUAUAAUUUUAUUUAAAUAUGUGAGGUUUCAUGGUGUGUAGAGAUGGAACUGACUCCAACAGUGAGUUCCUAAAUAAUUUUCUCAGCCUCUGCUCUGAGUAAAGACCCAGCCCCAGAGAGUGAUUGAAAGGGAAGCUUUUCUGCCAGGCUUUUCAUAGGGAAACAGGAAAACCCCAAGAAAGGGUUCCCUCCAUCAGUACCAUGUUCAUUUCCAUCGCUGGGUCACUGCUUGAUGGAUAGAAACCAAAUAAUAGUUUUACCAUCCACGUAGAGAGCACAGAGCCAAGACUGGGAAUGAGAGAGUGAGUCCUUUAGUUUGUCUCAUCUAUAAGGAAGAGGUGUGGAUGCUUCAGCAUCGUUACACACCUGCUAUUUCGAGGUUCCUAAAAUAAACAUCUUCCAGGACAAGAAGAGCUAUUACAUGCUCUAUUCAAUUCUCUAUUCAUUAUUGAGGCAAUAAAUCGCACACAAAUAAACUCAAGUGGCUUCUUCGUCUUUGGAGGGACAAAAAAAAAAGUGGUUUAUACUGAUGGCUCAGGAUGCAUUGGACUAGACUGAGGAAGAAUCUGGCAUUUUUACUAAUGGUGUGUGACUCCAGGUGUGCUCCUAGGAGGAAGCUCUAAAAUUUUGUGAUCUUCUUAGUUGGUUCCAGUGGCUGAGCCACC